rnacentral:rRNA from 1 species
UACGUAGGGUGCAAGCGUUAAUCGGAAUUACUGGGCGUAAAGCGUGCGCAGGCGGCUUUGCAAGACAGAUGUGAAAUCCCCGGGCUUAACCUGGGAACUGCAUUUGUGACUGCAUGGCUGGAGUGCGGCAGAGGGGGGAUGGAAUUCCGCGUGUAGCAGUGAAAUGCGUAGAUAUGCGGAGGAACACCGAUGGCGAAGGCAAUCCCCUGGGCCUGCACUGACGCUCAUGCACGAAAGCGUGGGGAGCAAACAGG